rnacentral:lncRNA from 1 species
AUGCUUCUAAUGAGCAUAAAAUCCUCCGAGCAUGAAAUCGGAAUGAAAUGUGUGCUUAUAAUCCAAGUACUGUUUACUCUAAUCCCACGGGAUGGGAAAGUCAGCGCUGGGCGAGAGAGAGAGAGAGAGAGAGAGAGAGGGUCGACCCCCUCCAAAGCCCCUCCACAGCAAACAACAACAACAACACUUAAAGCAACACAAAGGCCUGAACACAGACGAGCUGAGGACGGAGGAUCGGCCACGAAAGCGCUGCUGCUGAAUUAUUGAAGUUUAUUCUGGGAAUAGCAACGGCUCUCGGCAUAUGCAAAUGAUUAGUUUCAUUGGGGAUCUGAUCCCAGCGGUUCAGCCGUUCUCCCAUCAGCGUGGCAUUGUCCACGUUACUGUACACACACACACACACACAUGACAGGGAAACCUUACUUGAAAAAGAAUGAACCUUUUCUUUAAUCAGGUCUAGGUUUUUUCAAAUGUAUUCCUGUGUGUGCGUGUGUGUGUGUGUGUGUGUGUGCGUGUGUGUGUGUGUGUGUGAGAGAGAGAGAGACACACAUGCGUUUGUGUUCUUCUCUAUAAUGGACUUUACUGUCACUUCACUGUCCCUCAGGCUGCAUGAGUGUGUGCUUUACUGUAGUAAAUCCCUCAUUCUCUAUUAGAGUUUGAGCGAGUCUGUGCUUAUUUUAAUAUGUUGUUUUAGUAUAGUUUUACAGUACAAAUAUCUAAACAUUCUUAAAUCAAGAUACAUUAACUGGAGAAGCAAAAUGAUUUCAAAAAGUCUUGUUUUAUGAACAAUUUCUCAAAAUUAAGUGAGUGUUUGCUUAAAAAAAAAAAAAAAAAUUCUUUUUCUGACCCCACUGACUGAUAUUUGUCUUGUUUUAAGCAUAUACUCACUUCAUUUUGAUACAUUUGUAAAAAAAAAACUAUAUAUUUUUACAAAAAAAGGAUGUUUAUGUAUUUAUUUUAGUUUUUUUUAUUUAGAUGAAUUUAUUUGUGUUUUAGAUCGAGUUAUUUAUUUUAGAUGUAUUAUUUAUUUUAUAUUUGUCUU